rnacentral:lncRNA from 1 species
AAUAGAUUUAUUGAUUCAUAAAAUAUGUAAUCAUAAUAACAAUCAAGAAGUAUUGGUGAUAUACUUUAUCAACAGUGUCAAUUAUAUAAUCAUGAAUAUAAAGUAAUGUAAAGCAUGAGCAUAUCAUCUUUAACCCUUAUAAAUAUCACAUUCAUACCUUCACAAAACACAACUUUAUACCGCACUAAUACACAGCUGCAAUGAUUGAACAGCAACACAGAAGACAGUUAUAUUUUGGCUGAUAAUUUAUAAAUGAUUUAUUCUAAAUUUAAAAGAUACAUAUAAUGAUAUAAUGCAUUUGAUAUGGCAUUAUGGAAAUUAUAUUUCUUUAUAUCUUAACAACGCUAAUUAUAUAUAAAUAGGAGGUAUGAUAAGAGCCAUCUUUGACCCUUGAAAUUGCAAAUUUUAUUCUAGAACUUUGUACAAGAUCUCAAAAUAAGCUACCUUUGUUAAUUUUUUCAGUUUGGAAAUUCAAAAUGUUGGAAGCCCUAAUGCAAAUAUGUGAGAAAAAGAGAGUUUAACAACUCAAUACUGAUAUCUGAGGACUUAUGUCGAAUGAACAUCUGAAAGAUGUUAUUUGGACAAUAAUCAUAACACUUUUUGAUUUUCUAAUUUAAGGGGCCAAUAAAGCCUUAUCAUACCUUAGCAUUAAAUUAUUUGUUUCAUUUUCAAAAGUUUGAGAAUGGUAUGAAUACCAUUUAAAUGAAAUGGACAAUAUUUCUGAUUAAUAUGAUCUAAUGGUUUGGUUUAUUCAUGACUGGUUACUGUUGUAAACAAAACAAAUAUGAAAAGGACAUUGUUUAAAUUAAAUAAUAGCUUGCAGUAUUAUACUGCUAGGAGUAUAUUGACUGAGUAUCAUAUCCUUACAACACAAAUAAAUGACACGUCAAAAUGCCAGGAUACAUGUCUUUUUUUAAAUGCUAGUCCUUGAGAACUUUACUGAUUAUGCAUAUUCACAUCAGAAAAAAAGGUUUCAAUUAAAAUCAUUUUUUACCUUUUCUGUUUGACUGUUCAUUCUAUUCAAUUGAAAACUGAUGAAAAGUGUACAUCCAAAAAAUUUCCAAUAUAUAGAAAUGAUAAAACCUAUGAUAACUAUGGAAAACUGAAAAAAGAAAUCUUAAAAAACAGAAUCAAAAUGCUUCGCAAAAUUUUCCAUGUCACAAAGCAAUCUAUGUUUAAUUCUUAUGCAACUUGUAAGAGAUUUUACGGAGGUUAACUCCUUAAAUGAGGAAAAGAAAAGAGUUCAUGGCAGACUUGGGAAAUGAGGCUGAUGAAAAACUUCAGAAAUACAUGUGAUAAAAAGCUUUUUUCAUUAUACUUUCUUUAUACAUAACACUUGCAUUUUCUAUUUUUUUAACAGAAUAUCUUUUUUUCUAAAUUCCAAAACAGUACAUAUAAUAUUUUGAACUGAAUAAUAUGGGACAUGAUUUGAACAAAACCAGUGCCAGAUCAAUGCAAAUAUAUUUUAUUUUUGAAAUUUGUAAAUACAAGGAAAAACCAAAGAAUUGUAUAUAAAAUUGUUGUCUUCUGAGUUUUGUAACACUUAAAGAAAAUGUAAAUUGUAAGAAUACUUCUGAACAAAUUACAAAACAAAGAAUGCAGGUAUAAGUACAAAGUCAAUAUCAGAAUACAUCACAGGUAGAGCUAUCACAGCUUCAAAUUUUUCUGGCGACCAGUUUUCUGGAAAAUUUAAUGUCACACCUAUGUUCUAUAGAAAAGAGAAUCUGAUUCAAUUAAUGUAUUAGCUUUCACAUAUACUGGAAAUGCAAUGCCUAUUUCCCUAGUAUUUUAUUAAGAUUGUGACAUGUUUUUGAUGUGUUUUUACCAUUUGCUGAAUAAAGCACAUUUCCAAGAACUGUUUUAAAGGUCAAACUUCUCUAUUACCUAUAAAUUAUCAUUUAUAAAUAAACUAUAAGAUGAAAUAUCGCUAGGCACUUAAACUCUUCUUGACCUAGUUCAUUUUACUUUAAUGUGAAAAUUUUUGAAACCGUAAUAUGAUGUGACAAAAAUAACCAUAAAAUAAUAGAAUAACAUAUUCAUAACAAAUCAACUAUCAAACAAGGAAGUAAUAUAAUUGCACAAACCCCAAUAUUUCAGGAAAUAAAUUAUUAACAAGGUCAUAAACUAAUUGAUUUCAUUGAUCUAUCAUCUUCCUUAUGUUACAGUUAAAUGUUGCAAAACUAUAUAUAUAAAAAAAAAGAAUUUUUUUUUUUCAAGGAUUGAUUAUUUUUAAAAUAUAUGAACAGACUUUAAUCUUAAAUAUAUUUCAUUUCCUAAUUAAUAAGAGUCCUGCAAUUACUUUUGACUCUUGAUUAUCAAAGAAUGAUAUAUAAGAAACCAAGACCAGAUGUAUGGCAUAGUCAAGUACUUUACAGCUGCUGUAUUGAUAAUGAGUCAAAUGUUUUAAAACCUAUUUCAUAGUAAUGUGACAGAUAAGAAAGUAUAUAAACAGAUUCCUCAACUUCAAAGUUACCACCCAUGUAUUGAUUUAUUGUGGUAAACAUGCAGGGCAGGAGCCAGCAAUUUUUAAAAGGGAGAUUCCCAACCCAGGAUAAAGGGGGUUCCAACCCCAAAAACCUUCUUCCAUGGAUCGACCUCUGCCCAUGUAUCCCCCUUUAGUGUGACAUACUCAGGACCAAAUGAAAAAACUUAAAUAAAACAAAAUGUCUGUGUUCACUUGACACAGUGAUCUACCAUGUUUAAAUGAAGUGACUAAGGCUGGCAAUAGCAUUAUGUAGAAUAAUAAUAUAUAUCACCGGUCAUCCAUGAAUUUAAGCCAAAGCUAGCUUUUUACAUAGAGUACAAGUUAUUCUAUUCUUGAAGCUUUCUUUGACAAAUUUUAUGUCAUCAGCAAAUUAAGUUAAAUUUAAAUUUAUAAUUUAGAAAUUAACCAACAACUGAAGUGCAAUGAAUCCACCAUGUCAUAAAUAUCAUACAAAUAUCAUACAAUUAAUCAGAUACAACUCUAAAUAAUUCACAAAUUGAAAUAUUCAAUCAUGAAACUUUGUAUUGCUAUCACAUAAAACUACAUUACGUUUACCAGUAGUAGGACUGUCACAUAAACAUAGAGCAUAUAACAAUAUGUCAUCUCCACUUUUUCAACAUGACAUAAAAAAUUCUUCACAAAAAAUAAUUAUCCUACUUAAGCGCUAAAAAUCGUAUUUUAUACAUUUCAUUCUGAUAAAAUAACAUCCUCAAAUCUAACUUUGAGGCAAACAU